rnacentral:rRNA from 1 species
UACGUAGGGGGGCAAGCGUUGUCCGGAUUCAUUGGGCGUAAAGCGCGUGUAGGCGGCCAGGUAGGUCCGUUGUGAAAACUCGAGCUCAACCUCGAGACGCCGGUGGAAACCAUCUAGCUAGAGUCCGGAAGAGGAGAGUGGAAUUCCUGGUGUAGCGGUGAAAUGCGCAGAUAUCAGGAAGAACACCCGUGGCGAAGGCGGCUCUCUGGGACGUGACUGACGCUGAGACGCGAAAGCGUGGGGAGCGAACAGG